rnacentral:rRNA from 1 species
GAUGAACGCUGACAGAAUGCUUAACACAUGCAAGUCUACUUAAUUCUACUUCGGUAGUUGAUGGUGGCGGACGGGUGAGUAACGCGUAAAGAAUCUGCCCUUUAGUUUGGGAUAACCUUUGGAAACGAAGGCUAAUACCGGAUAUUAUGGAGACGUCGCAUGACGACUCCAUGAAAGCUAUAUGCGCUAGAGGAGGACUUUGCGUCCCAUUAGUUAGUUGGUGAGGUAAUGGCUCACCAAGACCGCGAUGGGUAGCCGGCCUGCGAGGGUGAUCGGCCACAAGGGAACUGAGACACGGUCCUUACUCCUACGGGAGGCAGCAGUGGGGAAUAUUGGACAAUGGGCCACAAGCCUGAUCCAGCAAUUCUGUGUGCACGAUGAAGGUCUUCGGAUUGUAAAGUGCUUUCAGUAGGGAAGAAAAAAAUGACGGUACCUACAGAAGAAGCGACGGCUAAAUAUGUGCCAGCAGCCGCCGUAA